rnacentral:rRNA from 1 species
AGAGUUUGAUCCUGGCUCAGAACGAACGCUGGCGGCGUGCUUAACACAUGCAAGUCGAACGGAAAGGCCCUGCUUUUGUGGGGUGCUCGAGUGGCGAACGGGUGAGUAACACGUGAGUAACCUGCCCUUGACUUUGGGAUAACUUCAGGAAACUGGGGCUAAUACCGGAUAGGAGCUCCUGCUGCAUGGUGGGGGUUGGAAAGUUUCGGCGGUUGGGGAUGGACUCGCGGCUUAUCAGCUUGUUGGUGGGGUAGUGGCUUACCAAGGCUUUGACGGGUAGCCGGCCUGAGAGGGUGACCGGCCACAUUGGGACUGAGAUACGGCCCAGACUCCUACGGGAGGCAGCAGUGGGGAAUAUUGCACAAUGGGCGGAAGCCUGAUGCAGCAACGCCGCGUGCGGGAUGACGGCCUUCGGGUUGUAAACCGCUUUCGCCUGUGACGAAGCGUGAGUGACGGUAAUGGGUAAAGAAGCACCGGCUAACUACGUGCCAGCAGCCGCGGUGAUACGUAGGGUGCGAGCGUUGUCCGGAUUUAUUGGGCGUAAAGGGCUCGUAGGUGGUUGAUCGCGUCGGAAGUGUAAUCUUGGGGCUUAACCCUGAGCGUGCUUUCGAUACGGGUUGACUUGAGGAAGGUAGGGGAGAAUGGAAUUCCUGGUGGAGCGGUGGAAUGCGCAGAUAUCAGAGGAACACCAGUGGCGAAAGCGGUUCUCUGGGCCUUUCCUGACGCUGAGGAGCGAAAGCGUGGGGAGCGAAC